UCCCUGGUGGUCCAGUGGCCAAGAUACUAUGCUCCCAAUGCAGGGGCCCUGGGUUCAAUCCCUGGUCAGGGAA
rnacentral:tRNA from 1 species